AUCCGGUGGUUCUGCGUGGAAGGGCCAUCGCUCAACGGAUAAAAGCUACCCUGGGGAUAACAGGCUUAUCUCCCCCAAGAGUCCACAGCGACGGGGAGGUUUGGCACCACGAUGUCGGCUCAUCACAGCCUGGGGCUGUAGUAGGUCCCAUGGGUUGGGCUGUUCGCCCAUUAAAGUGGUACGCGAGCUGGGUUCAGAACGUCGUGAGACAGUUC
rnacentral:rRNA from 1 species